CAGACCCACCUAUAUCAAGACAGUCGCAUUUACUGGAUCAUGAUUAUUGUAAAAGAAACAAGAGCAGCUUCCAAUCACCUAAAAGAAAAAAGUUAUCUGCUACUACAGAGCCAUCUACAUCGAGACAGUCGCAUUUACUAGACCAUGAUUAUUCUAAAGAGGAGAAGAGCAUUCAUUCUCCAAUCACCUAAAAGAAAAAAGUUAUCUGCCAAAGAUUUACAAGUGACACCACGAAAAAGAAAAUUAUUAAAAAAAAUUGAUGUCUACAAGCAGAAAAUAACAACAUUGCGUGAAGGAAAUGUAAUGCCGCGCAUAAAAUCAUUAGCUCUGAAGACCUUAAUCACUGCGUAUUUACGCAACAACCGUAGAAAUGGAUGCGAGGAAAGAGAUGGAGUCCAAUUGAAAAAGCAUUGGCAAUAGCAAUUUACAAGAAAUCUCCCAGGACAUAUCGUCAUUUGUUACAACUGGUGGCCUUGCCCAGCAUUAGAACAUUGCAAAGUCAACUUCAAAACAUGGAAUUAGAGCCGGGCAUCAGCCCGACUAUAUUAAAUCAUUUAAAAAAGAAAGCCACAGCAAUACCUGAAAAAGAUAGGCUGAUCGAGCUACUUUUUGACGAGAUUGCUUUGAAAAGGCGUCUGAUUUUAAACACCAGAUCAGAUAAAGUUGAAGGAUUUACGGAUUUAGGAGAAACUGGAUACAGAAGUGCAGAAGUGGCAGAUCACGCCUUAGUUUUCAUGGUACAAGGUUUACAUAAAAAACGGAAGCAACCGAUAGCCUACUAUUUUGUUAAGGGGACGAUAUCAGCGCAAAACCUUGCUGGUAUUAUUAAAGAUAUAAUAAGGGCACUUGCUGAUAUUGGUUACACGGUGGUUACCACAGUAUGUGACCAAGGACCCACUAAUAUUGGCAGUUUGAAUUUACUCAAAAGGUGGUGUGGCAUCCCAACUACUACCAAUUAUUUCAUAUUGGAUGAUAAGAGAGUUUAUAUAAUGUUUGAUA